AUUGAACGCUGGCGGCAUGCCUUACACAUGCAAGUCGAACGGUAACGGGCCUUCGGGUGCCGACGAGUGGCGAACGGGUGAGUAAUGUAUCGGAACGUACCUUUCAGUGGGGGAUAACGUAGCGAAAGUUACGCUAAUACCGCAUAUUCUGUGAGCAGGAAAGCAGGGGAUCGCAAGACCUUGCGCUGAUUGAGCGGCCGAUAUCAGAUUAGCUAAUUGGUGAGGUAAAGGCUCACCAAGGCGACGAUCUGUAGCGGGUCUGAGAGGAUGAUCCGCCACACUGGAACUGAGACACGGUCCAGACUCCUACGGGAGGCAGCAGUGGGGAAUUUUGGACAAUGGGGGCAACCCUGAUCCAGCCAUGCCGCGUGAGUGAAGAAGGCCUUCGGGUUGUAAAGCUCUUUCGGCCGGGAAGAAAUCGCAUGGGUUAAUACCCUGUGUGGAUGACGGUACCGGAAUAAGAAGCACCGGCUAACUACGUGCCAGCAGCCGCGGUAAAAC
rnacentral:rRNA from 1 species